GUUCUCCGGAAGAAAUUCCGGAAACAAUCUCCCACCGGAACUCAAAGAAGUCUUACGCGGACUACCCUUCCUCGUGUACGGACACAAAAAGGGCACCGCUCCUCGGAAACAGCAGAUUCCCACUGUUCGCACUCGACUCGAGCUUGGAGAUCCGGAGAUGGUGAAACGGGUCAUUUUAUGGAAACGACGCAGCCACCCGAAGAAAAGAAUCCCAUCGACGUGGAGCUUCGUCGUCGGCUGUGAACAUCACUUGCACUCAGAAGAGGAAGAAAAGGUCGGAGAUCGACUUUCUUGGGUCGAACUCACAUGGACCAUACAAACGACUGCAGUCGAGAGAUCCUCAAAAGAAAAGAUAAAGAUAGAGAACCCCUGGCAAACACUCUGAAUGAUGACGGCUGCUCGGAAUUCGCUACUUGAGCCGUCUUGGUGUCAUCUGGCGUCAACGGGUCGAUUGUGGUCGAUGUUCGCUUUGCUCGGACUAUCCUCACUCUGACUUAUCCGAUAGUGCCAGGCUCUACAUUGUCACCACUGAAGCUGCUUCUCAUCGUUGCUCUGGUAUGCGCAAGUAUAGACACUAAAGUGUGCGAUCACCAAAUACUAGAUAGGAAGUUAGCGUUCAUUCGUCUUCAUUAUGGUACUUCUGUCAUUUGAUCUAUCUUAUAUUUUCCAAAGGCUGCUGAUAUGUGGAAGUUAAAACCCGGACGGGAGGUAAAAGCUUAUUCGAUGGCAAGAAGAUAGGCUUGUUAUCGUUCUUAAUAUGUUUUUAGAGUAGAAAAUUAAGGGUAAACAUUUUUGCCCCAUACGUCCGUUUUUACUGCUAAUUUCGAAGCCUUGUAAUCGCAUUAUUAAAAGAACCCAUACUACAUGACUGGAAGUUUAAGUUAUGGUGCUUGCAUCGAUAUUUUCAAACACCAUGUGGUCUAUAUAGCUCCUCCUCUUUUUCUCUCUCGUUUCUGACUGCAGCCGUUGAGCUCCUUGAUUUCCAUGUGCAAGCGUCGGCGCAUUAUGAAAAAAUGGCGCGAGGAAAUUACAGAACUUCUUUUUGCAUGAGCAAACAUAUGCGUCGAGCUUCGGAAAAACAUUGGCUGUCAUAACAUGCAGGCAGGCACGCCAGUCACAUAGCACCACCAGGUGGGGAAAAAGGAGGAAGGCGAACAGUUUAAUUCCCCUAGUGGCGCAAUUUCAGUGCGUCAGGAGCUGAUCACCUAGCACUGCGAUAAGCUCAGCGAGGAGGCUGCGAAUCAAUACUUCCUUGUGUCCUGACAAACUUUUUCGA